rnacentral:rRNA from 1 species
GUGGCGCUCAAGAUCGUCGCCGAGCUCGUCCAGGAAUGCGACGACGCGGACGUGCCCAAGGCCAUGGAGGCUGCGCCGGCGCUCUGCAACCUCCUGCAGUCCGCCGACAACUCGAUACUGGAGUCGGCGCUCUCUUGCCUGGGAAUGCUCGCCGCCGAUGCUCACGGCAAGGCCGAGCACAUGGACAGGCUCUGUGAGUCCAAGGUGAUCGACACGGCCAUGGGACUACUGGACGAGGACGGCUGGAAAACCCUCGGGGACGACAAUUUACCCGGCAUCCUUGGGCUGCUCAAACACAUUGCUUCCGCCUCAGAGAAGGCUGUGAACUCCCUUUUUGACCUUGGUGUCUGCGAUUUGCUCAAGCAGAUGAUUACUUACUACAGUCGCUCGCACAGUGGCAGCGAUAAGUUGGAGAUGCUUGUGGAGUUCAUCUACCAGCUUAUGCGGCCUGUUGGAACAUCUGGGCAGGAGAAUGCCACCACAGAGCAAAAUGCACACGUUGACCAGCUUGCUAGCAUUGUGACCCUUAUAACACAGGUUGCAAAAUGUGGUGCGCUAUCAUCGGUUUGCUACAGGUGCAUUGUUGUCAUCGGCAACAUUGUUGAAUUAAGUACGCCUACUUUCCUGGUGGAGUUACAAAAGUCUGCAAAUCUCUCGAGCUUCCUUACAUGUCUAUUGGCCCGUAAGAACCGCCAUAUCGUGUUCCAAACGCUCGAAGUUGCAAAGACCCUCCUGAAAAAGCACCAUCAGUUUUUUUUCGAGAGCUUUACCAAGGAGGGUGUAAAGCAUGUAAUUGAGACCAUACAAGCACAAGAAAAAAAUAGAAACUCCAGUCAGAAGUUGAAAAGGAAAAACAAUACACAAGAAUGGUGUUUGUGCUAUGAAUUGGACUUGGAUUCUUCCUCGGCAGAUGGGUGCAAGAUUGAGAACAAUGCUAUCUUGAAUCUAGCAGAAGAGAUAAAGAAAAGCUUUGUUGUGGUCAAAGCAAAUAACAAAUCUCCACAUAGGUUUGGAUGUGUUCUUAAAUUUGUUAAAGAUUUUUUUGUUAGGCUGAAUCGUCAUGCCUUGACAGUCCCCACCCAGGAUCCGGAUCUCUGCAAAGAGUUGUCUGAUAUUUCGAGGAAAUUUUUAUCAGAUGAACUUCCAAGUACCUCUACUUUUACGUUUGCAAAGAGCGGAUCAGCCAAGUAUUUAGUAGAUUAUCUCUCCAAUGGGGCAUGUUUGAAGUCAAACCUCAAUAAUUGCCAGGACUUGGCAGAGCAGCUUAAGGAAGUGCAACAUCGAUUGCAGAAGUUCACCCAUUUGGCUCUUAAGGUGUCCAAUGGAAGCUCCGUGAAGCCCCUUGGGAUUUUGGUGGAUAAGCUGCUAGACGCUCUGCACAUGUCUUAUGACAGUUUUCCUGUAAUACUAUCUGAUCAUGGACAGCGUACCCGUGAGAGCACGAUGAUUCCUCUGAGGCAUUCAAGAACCCAGGAAUCAGAAUUACUGGAUAUAAAAUUUGUAAAGGCGCGCAGGGAGAAAGAGUUGCGCAGUUAUGGUGGUGUUCUCCCGGUUAGUCUUUCUUCAAAGCCAGGCGAAAUUGAAGCAGUCCUCUGGCCUGAGGUUUCCAAAGGGAACACGCAGGGAUCCUCAAGAUUGAUGUUCUCUUACAAAGGCACAAAACUCCAGCCAUCUUCAACAAUUUUUGAGUCACUUGUGCGUUUAAUGAAUGCAGGACAAUCUGAUAUUAUGAUUGAUUCGUCUUUUUGGGAUCAAGAGUACAGAAUAUCGUAUAACAGAAACAAAAGCGAGAACAUCUCUUCUUCGAGUUCCUGUAGUACUCAGUUGUUCGCCCUGCAGGAAAAACAUGGACAGUCAUUGGUAAAGGACCCAUUUUUCUGUACUCUAUUCCUUGGGAAGCUUCCUGGUGAUGUGGAUGAAUCUGAUCCAUCCUACAACUUGUUAUUAACGCUGAAAGUUCUUGAAGGGCUUAAUCGUUUUUCAUGUGAGCUGUCAAUGGAUCAGCAGAUAUGCAAAUUUGCUGAAGGCCACCUCCGGAGUUUGGAUGACCUUAAGGUGACAAUCUCUCCGAUUCCACAGCAUCAGUUCAUGAGUAGCCUUCUGACGAAUAAGCUGGAGAUGCAAAUGCAAGAGGGCUUGUUUGAGGAUGGGCUGGUACCCUCGUGGUGUGUCUAUCUGGUGGAAACUUGCCCCUUCUUAUUUCCCUUCAGCUCACGGUGGAAGUACUUUUGCCUGACUGUGCAUCGCUCAUUCAUGGGAGACGAGUCAAGUGCUCCGGAUGGUUCGAGUACUCCAGAUGAGGCAAGUGGUGCACCAGAUGAGGAAGAGGAAAUUGAUGCUCUAAGUGAAGCAAGUAAAAAGACCAAGAAGCACAAAGUAACACGAGAUAACAUACUUGAAAGUGCUGCAUCUAUGAUGGUCAAACAUGGGUCGAGCACCAAAACCAUUGAGGUGGUAUUUGAAGGAGAGGUUGGGACUGGGCGAGGCCCAACCUUUGAAUUUUACAGUACUGUUAGUCAUGAACUUCAGAGGCUUGGAAUUGGGAUGUGGAGAGGCGAUAAUGCUAGAAAAGCAGGAGAAACUGGAUUCAUUCGUUCUAGCUUUGGGCUGUUUCCACAACCAUGGUCCUCAGUAGGCACUUCAACACGGGGAAUCGAAUUGUCUGACGUGGUAAAGAAGUUCAGGCUUCUUGGACAUGUUGUAGCCAGAGCCCUUCUCGAUGGAAGGAUCCUGGACAUCCCGCUCUCAAAUGCAUUCUACAAGAUCAUGCUUUGCCAGGAGCUUGAUGUCUACGACAUUCCAUCAUUUGAUCCCGAGCUAGGCAAAACUGUACUGGAGUUUCAAGCACUAGUUAAAAGGAAGAAGUUCUUGGAGACAUCUUCAGAGAAGACACCAAAUCCCAACACAGAUCUAUCAUAUAAAAAUGUGAGACUGGAAGAUUUGUGCCUUGACUUUACUCUUCCUGGAAAUCCUGAAUAUGACCUUGUUCCUGGAGGCUCAGACAAGAUCGUGACCCUCGACAAUCUGGAGGAGUAUGUAAAUUUGAUAGUUGACGCGACCUUGAAGGGUGGGAUUGCGAAACAGGUCGAGGCUUUCAAGUCUGCAGUUAACGAGGUCUUUGCUCUUCAGACCCUUAGAAUGUUCAACGAGGAGGAGAUGGAGCGCAUACUUUGUGGUGAACAGGAUUCCUGGGCUUCAAGCAAACUUGAGGAUCACAUCGAAUUUGAGCAUGGCUAUGAUGCGAGCAGUCCACCAAUAAAAAAUUUCCUGGAGAUCUUGCGGGAGUUUGAAAGAGAGGACCAGCGGGCAUUCCUCCAAUUCACCACUGGAGCUCCUCAGCUCCCACUUGGUGGCCUAGCUUCGCUCGAUCCAAAGCUCACCGUCGUGCGAAAGCAAUGUGAUGGCAAUGUCGACAACGAGUUGCCAAGCGUCAACACUUGCCGGCACUUCAUCAAGCUUCCUCCUUACUCCUCGAAGGAGAUAAUGAAAACGAAACUCAAAUACGCUCUGGCAGAGGGUUUAGGCUCCUUCCACUUGUCAUGA